GUGGGGAAUCUUGCGCAAUGGGCGAAAGCCUGACGCAGCCAUGCCGCGUGAAUGAUGAAGGUCUUAGGAUUGUAAAAUUCUUUCACCGGGGACGAUAAUGACGGUACCCGGAGAAGAAGCUCCGGCUAACUUCGUGCCAGCAGCCGCGGUAAUACGAAGGGGGCUAGCGUUGCUCGGAAUUACUGGGCGUAAAGGGCGCGUAGGCGGACAGCUUAGUCAGAGGUGAAAGCCCAGGGCUCAACCUUGGAAUUGCCUUUGAUACUGGCUGGCUUGAGUUUGGGAGAGGUGAGUGGAACUCCGAGUGUAGAGGUGAAAUUCGUAGAUAUUCGGAAGAACACCAGUGGCGAAGGCGACUCACUGGCCCAAUACUGACGCUGAGGCGCGAAAGCGUGGGGAGCAAACAGGAUUAGAAACCCCGGUAGUCC
rnacentral:rRNA from 1 species